UGGGGUUGUGGCUCAGUGGUAGAGCACUUGCCUGGCACAUAUGAGGCACUGGGUUCGAUCCUCAGCACCACAA
rnacentral:tRNA from 1 species